rnacentral:rRNA from 1 species
GACGGGGGGGGGCAAGUGUUCUUCGGAAUGACUGGGCGUAAAGGGCACGUAGGCGGUGAAUCGGGUUGAAAGUGAAAGUCGCCAAAAAAGUGGCGGAAUGCUCUCGAAACCAAUUCACUUGAGUGAGACAGAGGAGAGUGGAAUUUCGUGUGUAGGGGGUGAAAAUGCGCAGAUAUCUGGAGGAACACCGGUGGCGAAGGCGGCAUCCUGGACCGGUAUUGACGCUGAUGCGCGAAAAGCCAGGGGGAGCAAACGGG